rnacentral:tRNA from 1 species
GCGCGAGUGCUGAAAUUGGUAGACAGGCUAGACUCAGGAUCUAGUGUCCGUAAGGAUGUGGGGGUUCGAGUCCCCCUUCGCGCACCA